rnacentral:rRNA from 2 species
UACGUAGGCAGCAAGCGUUGUUCGGAAUUACUGGGCGUAAAGAGUGUGUAGGCGGUGCUCUAAGUCUGUUGUGAAAUCUCCCGGCUUAACUGGGAGGGUGCGGCGGAGACUGGAGUGCUAGAGUGUGGGAGAGGUAAGCGGAAUUCCUGGUGUAGCGGUGAAAUGCGUAGAUAUCAGGAGGAACACCUGUGGUGUAGACAGCUUACUGGACCACGACUGACGCUGAGACACGAAAGCGUGGGUAGCAAACAGG